rnacentral:rRNA from 1 species
UACGGGGGGGGCAAGCGUUGUUCGGAAUUACUGGGCGUAAAGGGCUUGUAGGUGGCCAACUAAGUCAGACGUGAAAUCCCUCGGCUUAACCGGGGAACUGCGUCUGAUACUGGAUGGCUGGAGUGUGGGAGAGGGAUGCGGAAUUCCAGGUGUAGCGGUGAAAUGCGUAGAUAUCUGGAGGAACACCGGUGGCGAAGGCGGCAUCCUGGACCGACACUGACGCUGAGGAGCGAAAGCCAGGGGAGCAAACGGG